rnacentral:lncRNA from 1 species
GGAGCGUCCAAAGCAAGAAAUUGCCUUUCCUUCCCCCCUGCAUUUCCAGGGAGGGACAUGGAGAACGAAAUCCCAAGUCUGAGUUUGUUGAAAUUUGUGUUGCAGAUGGUGUCGGUGGAAAUUCAAGCCAGAAGUUUAUCCCAAACGUUUUGAAGCCAGGCUGAUAAUUCACAGGGAUGCAGAUGUUGGAUGAGUGAUUGCACAGGAGCCAAAGAAUCAGACAGACUGUCUGUGGAGCUGUGAUGACAAACAGUGUGUGCAGACCUGGAGGUGAGGCAGCACUUACUGGGACUGGUGUGAGCUGCGUGCCAAGGACAGAGUACUUGGAGCCAUUCUGGUAAAGUACUUAUUGUGAUUGCACUGAACUAUUGUGGGUGUGG